UACAGAGGGUGCGAGCGUUAAUCGGAAUUACUGGGCGUAAAGCGUGCGUAGACGGUCAUGUAAGUCGGGUGUGAAAGCCCCGGGCUCAACCUGGGAAUUGCAUUCGAGACUGAAUAGCUAGGGUACGGUAGAGGGAAGCGGAAUUUCCGGUGUAGCGGUGAAAUGCGUAGAUAUCGGAAGGAACAUCAGUGGCGAAAGCGGCUUCCUGGACCAGUACCGACGUUCAGGCACGAAAGCGUGGGGAGCAAACAGG
rnacentral:rRNA from 1 species